GAAUAUUGGACAAUGGGGGGAACCCUGAUCCAGCCAUGCCGCGUGUGUGAAGAAGGCCUUUUGGUUGUAAAGCACUUUAAGCGAGGAGGAGGCUACCUGGAUUAAUCCUUUAGGAUCGUGGACGUUACUCGCAGAAUAAGCACAGGCUAACGCUGGGCCAGAAGCCGCGGUAAUACAGAGGGUGCGAGCGUUAAUCGGAUUUACUGGGCGUAAAGCGUGCGUAGGCGGCCAAUUAAGUCAAAUGUAAAAUCCCCGAGCUUAACUUGGGAAUUGCAUUCGAUACUGGUUGGCUAGAGUAUGGGAGAGGAUGGUAGAAUUCCAGGUGUAGCGGUGAAAUGCGUAGAGAUCUGGAGGAAUACCGAUGGCGAAGGCAGCCAUCUGGCCUAAUACUGACUCUGAGGUACGAAAGCAUGGGGAGCAAACA
rnacentral:rRNA from 1 species